rnacentral:rRNA from 1 species
AGAACGAACGCUGGCGGCAUGCCUAACACAUGCAAGUCGAACGAGACCUUCGGGUCUAGUGGCGCACGGGUGCGUAACGCGUGGGAAUCUGCCCUUGGGUUCGGGAUAACAGUUGGAAACGACUGCUAAUACCGGAUGAUGACUUCGGUCCAAAGAUUUAUCGCCCAGGGAUGAGCCCGCGUAGGAUUAGCUAGGUUGGUGAGGUAAAGGCUCACCAAGGCGACGAUCCUUAGCUGGUCU